rnacentral:rRNA from 1 species
GACGAACGCUGGCGGCGUGCUUAACACAUGCAAGUCGAACGGAAAGGCCCUGCUCUUGUGGGGUGCUCGAGUGGCGAACGGGUGAGUAACACGUGAGUAACCUGCCCUUGACUUUGGGAUAACUUCAGGAAACUGGGGCUAAUAUCGGAUAGGAGCUCUUGAUGCAUGGUGGGGGUUGGAAAGUUUCGGCGGUUGGGGAUGGACUCGCGGCUUAUCAGCUUGUUGGUGGGGUAGUGGCUUACCAAGGCUUUGACGGGUAGCCGGCCUGAGAGGGUGACCGGCCACAUUGGGACUGAGGUACGGCCCAGACUCCUACGGGAGGCAGCAGUGGGGAAUAUUGCACAAUGGGCGGAAGCCUGAUGCAGCAACGCCGCGUGCGGGAUGACGGCCUUCGGGUUGUAAACCGCUUUCGCCGGUGACGAAGCGUGAGUGACGGUAAUGGGUAAAGAAGCACCGGCUAACUACGUG